rnacentral:rRNA from 1 species
UACGUAGGGAGCGAGCGUUGUCCGGAAUUACUGGGUGUAAAGGGAGCGUAGGCGGGCGAGAAAGUUGAAUGUUAAAUCUACCGGCUUAACUGGUAGCUGCGUUCAAAACUUCUUGUCUUGAGUGAAGUAGAGGCAGGCGGAAUUCCUAGUGUAGCGGUGAGAUGCGUAGAUAUUCGGAGGAACACCGGUGGCGAAGGCGGCCAACUGGGCUUUAACUGACGCUGAGGCUCGAAAGUGUGGGGAGCAAACAGG